rnacentral:lncRNA from 1 species
CAUAAACUAUCCUAAAUGUUUACCAAACUUAAAUGACAGAAGCUUCUCACAAUCAAAAGAUAGUAUCAAGCGGAAUAAUUUUAUUAAUUUUUUACCUCAUUUUUGUUGAGCCUGCAAUUUACAGCAAUAGUAGGCUUAGACACUGGGUUCCGCAGAACCCUUACAAUUUUUUUUUAUAAAAUAUCUAAAAUGGGCCUACUCAUGGAGAAUAUUAUGUACGUUUAUGAAAAGAAC